UACGUAGGGUCCGAGCGUUGUCCGGAAUUACUGGGCGUAAAGAGCUCGUAGGUGGUUUGUCGCGUUGUCCGUGAAAACUCACAGCUCAACUGUGGGCGUGCGGGCGAUACGGGCAGACUGGAGUACUGCAGGGGAGACUGGAAUUCCUGGUGUAGCGGUGGAAUGCGCAGAUAUCAGGAAGAACACCAAUGGCGAAAGCAGCUCUCUGGGACGGUACUGACGCUGAGACGCGAAAGCGUGGGGAGCGAACAGG
rnacentral:rRNA from 1 species